UGGGGAAUAUUGGACAAUGGGCGAAAGCCUGAUCCAGCCAUGUCGCGUGUGUGAAGAAGGUCUUCGGAUUGUAAAGCACUUUAAGUUGGGAGGAAGGGCAGUAAGCGAAUACCUUGCUGUUUUGACGUUACCGACAGAAUAAGCACCGGCUAACUCUGUGCCAGCAGCCGCGGUAAUACAGAGGGUGCAAGCGUUAAUCGGAAUUACUGGGCGUAAAGCGCGCGUAGGUGGUUCGUUAAGUUGAAUGUGAAAGCCCCGGGCUCAACCUGGGAACUGCAUCCAAAACUGGCGAGCUAGAGUAGGGCAGAGGGUGGUGGAAUUUCCUGUGUAGCGGUGAAAUGCGUAGAUAUAGGAAGGAACACCAGUGGCGAAGGCGACCACCUGGGCUCAUACUGACACUAAGGUGCGAAAGCGUGGGGAGCAAACAGG
rnacentral:rRNA from 1 species